AAUCCAAGUGAUAUUUAAAAUUAAAAAAAAAACUAGGAAAGGAAGGAACAAGAAAAAUUUUUCAAAUGAAUAUUUAGAGCCAGCCAAACGCUUAAAUAUUGAAAAAGUUCAGUAUAACGAUAACACAGAUUAUUCUGACGAUCAUGAAUCCCAGGUGCUAGAAGAUCCUCUAUUUAUAUCUGAUUUAUCAAACUUACAAGGAAAAUCAGCGUAACUCAACGUUUGUUCAUCAUCGAACCAUUCGUCAACAGCUCACGGACCCAGCAAGUAAAUAACUGGCACUGAUAGUGACGACGCAGAUACUAUGGAAGAUAGUGAAAAUACAGUAUCCUUAAAAAAAAUAUAUUCAAAAACUUAUCCUUAGGAAAGGAAUUUAUAUAGCAAAGAAGCAAGAAUAUAGUGAUAAAUAUUUAAGAAGACAAAAGAGACAGAUAUCUUCAAAACCUGAUUUUAUUUCACAAGAUAAAUUGAAAUUAUUAAAUGAGUAUUUGCCAAUAGAUACUAAUGAAAACAAUGAAAAAAGAAAGUAGAUAUUGUAGAAUCAGAAUUACUAAAUCAGAAAUUUGCAAAGAUUGUGCACAUGUCACAGGAGUUUUGGAAUAAAAUGCUGCAUAUUGAGGAAAGAAUGUUGUGUAACAUAUGGCAUCUUCAAGGAGCUGGUGGCAAUAAUGUUCAUGAUUUAAUAUAUAACAUGGUACCAAAGAUAAUAACAGAUGAGGUCUUACAAAGUUAUAGUUUCUUUGGGAGAAAAUCGAAGGGACAAGAUAAAAAUAAAUGUUUUUCUGAACUCACUAUCUGCAAGUGCAUUUACAUGGCUUCCAAAUUGUCAUUCCCUAAGGCUACAGAUAAUGAAAUAAAAAAAUUGCUAUGCAAUUUUUUUAUUUUUAUUUUUAUUUUUUUGGAUCAAGCCAGCACUAGGUUUAAA